UGGGGAAUCUUGCACAAUGGGGGAAACCCUGAUGCAGCGACGCCGCGUGAGCGAUGAAGGUUUUCGAAUCGUAAAGCUCUGUCCUAUGGGAAGAUAAUGACGGUACCAUGGGAGGAAGCCCCGGCUAACUACGUGCCAGCAGCCGCGGUAAUACGUAGGGGGCGAGCGUUGUCCGGAAUCACUGGGCGUAAAGGGUUCGCAGGCGGAAAUGCAAGUCAGGUGUAAAAGGCAGUAGCUUAACUACUGUAAGCAUUUGAAACUGCAUAUCUUGAGAAGAGUAGAGGUAAGUGGAAUUUUUAGUGUAGCGGUGAAAUGCGUAGAUAUUAAAAAGAAUACCGGUGGCGAAGGCGACUUACUGGGCUCAUUCUGACGCUGAGGAACGAAAGCGUGGGUAGCAAACAGG
rnacentral:rRNA from 1 species